GACAGAGGGUGCAAACGUUGUUCGGAAUUACUGGGCAUAAAGAGCACGUAGGUGGUCCCCUAAGUCACGUGUGAAAUCCCCCGGCUCAACCGGGGAAUAGCGCGUGAUACUGGGGGGCUCGAGGUGGGUAGGGGUGAGCGGAACUCCAGGUGGAGCGGUGAAAUGCGUAGAUAUCUGGAGGAACACCGGUGGCGAAAGCGGCUCACUGGACCCAAUCUGACACUGAGGUGCGAAAGCUAGGGUAGCAAACGGG
rnacentral:rRNA from 1 species